rnacentral:lncRNA from 10 species
GUGGCUCAGAAAGAGACUCCUUCUGCUUGAGGAAAGGAGAGGGAAGAGUACAGAUGACUUUGUUUUUCAACUUGAGUACCAGCUCAGUCAUAGGAAAAUAAAGCGCCAAGUAGAAUCCUGAAGCCACCGAUCCCAGGCCUUUCUUCCUGGACAGUGCGGCUAGACCCAACCCAGGCCAGAAGGGAAUCUGCUGUCCUGGUUGGUUGGACACAAGUUCUGGCUGGUUUUACCACCUGCUGACUAAAGUGGCCUCAAGCCUUGAAUAAACGUCAGUGGCAGUCAGGUAGUACUGACUGUGGACCUUGGGCAAUCCCCAGUACUGUGCUG